UGGGUUCGUCCACGUGCUUCCCGACGCCUUCGAGAACUUAACGUCGCCCUGCCUCGAUGAACAUCCAUGGGCGGAUUUUCCGUUCACCGGAUUUGCUGCCAUGGUUGCUGCUAUCGGGACUCUGAUGAUUGAUGCUUUUGCAACUUCUUAUGCGACCUCUUAUUAUCGCAAGUCUCACUUUGGUGAAGCGGAGGAUAACGUAUCAGAUGAAGAGAAAGUUGGGGAGCAUGCAGGUCACGUGCAUGUUCAUACUCAUGCAACUCAUGGCCAUGCUCAUGGAUCUAUUGAAUAUGCUGGUGAAUCGGAGCUUCUACGACACCGUGUCAUAUCUCUGGUUAUAAUUUAUUUAUUUAUUUUUAAAUUUUCAUGCAUAUAUAAAAUGAUGGUGAAUUUUUAAUUAUAUUGGUAAAUUAAUUAAUUAAUUUUUAAAAAAAUUUCAUUUUGGGUUAUUUUUUUCGUUAGGUUUUGGAGUUGGGAAUUCUUGUGCACUCGGUAAUCAUUGGAAUUUCAUUGGGUACUUCUGAGAGUCCAAAAACUAUUAAGCCUUUGGUUGCAGCGUUGACUUUUCAUCAAUUCUUUGAAGGAAUGGGUCUUGGUGGUUGCAUUACGCAGGUAAUUGAUAUUUUUUAUUUAUGAUUAAAUAAAGUUUGACCAAUUUGACAGUUGUCCAUUCUUUUAAUUAUUAUUCUUACUUUGUAAGUUUUAAUUAAGAUGCUUGAUACAUGGUGCUAACUAGCCAUAAGAAUCAAUUAUCAAAUCACUUUUAUUUUGGAAAACUCUUUUUUUUUUUUGGUUAGAAAAAGGAAAAACUUAUUUGAAGUUUUAAAAUUCUCUGUUUUUUUGUUUACGCUGUUGACUAUAUGUGUGUACAUGUAAUACUAAAGUCUUUUUGUGACAAUAUCCACCUAUGCACAAUCAAGUGGACAAUAUGGCUCCAAAUUUCAUUAGUAAUUGAUGUUAACAAUUUUGUUUUAACGUGUUCGUUUUUAUAGGCAAAAUUCAAGUCUCGAGGAGUCGCAAUAUUGGCCUUUUUCUUCUCUUUGACAACCCCAGCUGGGAUAGCAAUAGGCAUUGGAAUAUCAAGUUUUUAUGACGAAAAUGACCCCACUGCUCUUAUUGUUGAAGGGAUAUUCAACGCAGCAGCAGCUGGAAUCCUAAUAUACAUGUCCUUGGUUGAUCUUCUUGCUGCAGAUUUUAUGAAUCCGAAGAUGCAAGACAAUAAAAGGCUUCAAUUUGGAGCACAUGUUUCUCUUCUUUUAGGAGCUGGUUGCAUGUCCUUGUUAGCCAAAUGGGCUUAAAAAUCAUAGAGAUUUUUUCGGCAAUUUUUGUUUAUCCAAUAGUUUAAUUUGCGGCAGUUUUUGUACAGACAUUUUGAUGGAUGUUUACUAUCUGUAAAAUAACUUAAAUUGAUUAGGGUUAAGUGUAGCGUUUUAAAAUUUAAAGAGGGUAAGUGUCAUAACUCAUUUGAUUUUGGGUGUGAAUCUUUGUAACUUAAACUUGAAGGGAUUUGUAAUUUUUCCUUGUACAUAUUUUAUUUCUUUUGAUUAAAGAUCAUUACUCGUCGGUGAGCUUUAAAUAAUAAAUUCCACAAGGCCCCUGCCAAAAAGGGGUAAAAAACAAAAGGAAAGAAAAGAAAAGGUAUGAACUAAUUUGAAAAGAAGAUGAUAAAGAUCAUGGUGAUGAUAUUGACUCAAUUGAGGAAGAAAACUCAAACUCGUAGUGUUUAUCGAUGGCCAUUGAUAUAUCAAUAUUACACAUCAAUGUAUGUAUAUACAUACGCACAUCAAUAUUGCUAUGUUUGCAAGUUUGUAAUAAAAAAUAACUUUGGUAUUCAACCCAAUGUGUCGUUAUAAGAAAAUGACACAUGUCAAAUGAUUACUUAUAUUUUCACUUUCACUUGAUAGUUUGUAUGAACACUUUGUAUAUGCCGUGUUAAUAUCAAAUAUGUCAUAUUAGUUGGGUAUAACCAGUGGCGGACCCAGAAACUAAAAUGAGGGAGGGCUUAGUUCAAAAAUUUUUAUUUAACUUAAAUUUUUUUAAUGUUCACUCGAAUACAUUUUAAGUCUUAUAAACUCAAAUUUUAUAAUUUUUUUUUAAAUUCUAAAUAAUAAUAGUAAUAAAUUAUUAUUUUUAAAUGCGUGAAAAUAUUAUUUUUCGAAGUAGUUUCCACAAAAUAUUUAAAAAAAUAAAAUAAUGUGGUUAAUGGGAUUUGAACCAAGGUUUUAAAAUCAUUAAAUAACACUCUUACCAUUGAACCACAAGUCUUUUAGUAUGUGAAAAAUGUGUCCAAAUUGUAUUAUCUAACUUUUUCAGAAGGGGCUUGUGGUACAUUUAAAAGAAAACUUAAUGGUCCAUGGGGGGUUGAAGUCCCUCCUGGACCUUAAUUGGGUCCGCCCAUGGGUAGAACCAUAUAAAAUUUAUAUUCUAACUAAAUGUAAUUAUAGACUUAAGUGAAAAAUAUAGAUUUAGUUGGUCUUUUAGUGAAAAUAAGGGUAUUACAAACAUUGUCCUUCAUAUGGCAAGCUAGAACAAUACAUGAAUGGGUCGACGAGGUUAAGUCAAGAGAAACCUAAAAACGCAAGCUGGUUGAAGCCAGCCACUUGCUACUUGCUAUUGCCAAAAGAGAGGAAAAACGACAUCGUAAUCCACUAGGUACGGACUACUAAUUAAUUAGCUGAGUUGUCUCCUUUUACUUCCAAAAACGUCCAAACUCAUCUUGUAAAACUUUCAAUAUUCUGAAUUUUGAUUCCUUAAUUUUACUUAAGAAUUUGGUCUUUAUCUAAGUUUUAAAUAAAGUGUUUUAAUAAGUUACAAAAAAUAAUUACCAUUUCUCAUAAUUUCGGGGCAUUCCGAGAAUCGAACUCGGGACCUCUCGCACCCAAAGCGAGAAUCAUACCACUAGACCAAAUGCCCAGUGACAAAUUGCAACUUCCUUACAAAAUAUUAAUCUUGUUUCUAAAUUGAAGUCAUUACACACAGCUUCAUACUUCUUCGUUUCCAUUAAUAAGAAUUUGACUGAGAGAAUGGCGGCAACUUGAUUCCAAGCAAACAGACUGAUGAAUGAUCACGACAAAGGUGAAAUUGUUUCUGAGUAAAACUUGGAACAAAACUUGACACGUACAUGAACACAGAGAGUCAAAUUAACAAGCUAGCCAACAUCCAAAAUGGCCUACAAAUUCAUAACAAAACGACAUGGGGAUUUGCCACUUGCCAGAUUCCAAUCUCUAGACAAUGCACACAUCUUUUGGUUGAAAACUCGAGCUCUGUUAAAAUAUCUUUUUGUUAAAUAUCUCAAGCUCUGCCAAGGGAGUUGACGUUCAAUCGUUAUCUCAUUCCUAUAUACGUUUCACAUCUCAGGAGCUGAACUAAAGGAUUCAAGUAUAAGAAUAGGAUGUAAUUAUUAAGAUCGUUAACACGUACAAACAUUGCCGAUACUACGAUCAUCAAAUCUGAUUUCAUACUUAACAAAUUAAUUAUUUAUUUAACAAAUAAAUUAGUACCCUAAUUAAUAACUUGAUCAGUGCGGAUAUGAUUUAUGAAAGAUGUAUAUAUGCCACGGGGCAACAAAUUGACUACAAGGUAAUAACAUUAAAUGUUGGACUAGUAGCUUGUUACCAUUCAUUCAUUUUUUAUUUUAUUUUUAACAUUCAUAUAUAAUAUUUAAUAUGAUAUUAAUACAACAUGAUCCCAUGUUACAAGUUAAUUUCAGCAUCAUUGUUAUAGUUUUCAUGUUCAACCUUACAAGCAAACUCCUAAGUCUAUUCAUAUGAGGUGCAAGUGCAAGUAUGCAACUGGCAGAGCUUGAAAAACUUUUUGAGGUUCAUGGUCCUAUGAUAAAGUUAUCAAAAGUAUUUAACAUUAUGCUCUUUAUUUAAUUCUUCUAUAAACUUCUGUCAAAUAAUAGAACCUUAGGAGGGACCCAAUUGGCUAAAUCCCAUCACAGUCUCACAACUGGUCCUGAAGCUUUCUUUUACAUGAACUGCUUAGAAGCAUUUCAGAAUUUUCCUUACCUUUUCUUCUGAAUGAUUUAAGGAAUAAUUGAAAUUAAAAUUGAAUAAUUUUCGUUGCCUUUUUAUCCCAAAAUGGUAUAUUUUCUUGAAUCCAAAACCAGUUUGAAUAUUGAUAUUUGAUACAGCCCCUUGUAACUACAAAAUAAGAUUUUAGGGUCAAAAACUUUUAGUCAGUUAGGUUAGGGUUUUAUUUUUGACAUAUAUUUUAUUGUUUAAAAGGAAAAACAAAUGAUUAAAUAUAACCGUCGUGUUACCCACGGUUUGAUACAAGGAUGAUGAUUCUCUCUUGAUUUGAGCACACCUGAUCUUUUACAGAUUUUGCGUCACUUGUAUUUUAGUAUUAGUGUAUGAUUAGAAUUUAAUUACUUUUUCUUUUUAAUUUCUUAACCACCAAUCAUAUUAAUAAAAUUUACUCAAAAAAAAAAAUCAGACUAGACUAGGAGAGGAUCUCAAAAUCUUUGAUACAACCCUCCUUUUUUUUUUUUUAAUAUACUUCACACUCAGUAUAAAAAAAGACCAUAUUUCAUUUUAUUAUUUUAAAAUUGCAUUGACUAAACUGUAAAUAUUGAAUUUUAGAUUUGGUUAGCCAACCAAGAAGAUCGAAAAUCUAGCUAAUACUGUUAUCCGGCUGGCUUGUCAAAGAAAAAAAAAAUUAAAUGAGUCAAUUAUUAUUUCAACAUAAUAUCGACAUUGCAAGCUUGACUUAACCAAUUUUAGCCUACAGUUGUAGUGAGAAUGCUUUGAAAUUCCUUUCUGGCUGCUUAGUAUGUCGACAUAUUAUCAACACUUUGCUAUUUUUCAAUCCUUGAGAUUCCCAUCCAAAUUUUCAACUAGCCAGUCCCUAAUUGCAGGCCACUUUUAAUUCUGUGGUCAAAUUAAUUAUUUCGUCUAAUAAUUACCAUAAUUUUACAAAACGAAGAAACAACCCAUAUACAGAAGUUUGAUUCUACUCGUAACUUGAUUCUUACGGAAUCGUGUCCUCAUUAUUUCUUCAAAGCUACUUUUGAGAUGAUCAUCGAACGCUAAAGCGAAUUAAACCUUAAUUGGCACUUAGCGUUUUAUCCAAUCUCUUCUGUUUGUUCUAUUAAUUUCUUUUAUUUUGUUUUCUUAUUCUCUUUCAGUUUCAGUACUCGAUGGGGUCGGUGCAUGGGUCACAAUGAUUUUAUGAUGCUCUAGAGAUCAACAAUCACGCGCUUUCACAUAAACUCUGCACUAUAAACAAUUUCCUCUCAAAUAUUCUCAUCAUACAAAAAUAAAAAUCGUGAUAUUGUUUUCAGAUUUCAGAUUCUUUAACAUGAUCACUUCUCAUCGUCUUUUCAUCACUUUCUUUUGCAUUCUUCUAAUACUACUUCCCAACGUAGUACGAGGAGAAUGCACGUGCGAUCCUGAAGACGAUGAUCGAGACAAGACUCAAGCCUUAAAAUAUAAACUCGCCGCCAUCGCUUCGAUACUCGUGGCCGGAGCCAUCGGAGUUUUACUUCCGGUCCUCGGAAAAACUAUCAAGGCACUAAGUCCGGAGAGAAAUAUUUUCUUCCUAAUCAAGGCCUUCGCCGCCGGAGUUAUAUUAUCGACGGGGUUCAUCCACGUGCUUCCCGACGCCUUCGAGAACUUAACGUCGCCCUGCCUCGAUGAACAUCCAUGGGGGGAUUUUCCGUUCACCGGAUUCGCUGCCAUGGUUGCUGCUAUCGGGACUCUGAUGAUUGAUGCUUUUGCAACUUCUUAUGCGACUUCUUAUUAUCGCAAGUCUCACUUUGGUGAAGCGGAGAAUAACGUAUCAGAUGAAGAGAAAGUUGGGGAGCAUGCAGGUCACGUGCAUGUUCAUACCCAUGCAACUGAUGGGCAUGCUCAUGGAUUUCUUGAAUAUUCCGGUGAAUCGGAGCUUCUACGACACCGUGUCAUAUCUCUGGUAUAACUUAUUUAUUUAUUUUUAAUUUUUCAUGCACAUAUAAAACGAUGGUGAAUUUUUAUUUAUUUUUUUGAAGUUUCAUUUUGGUUAUUUUUUUCAUUAGGUUUUGGAGUUGGGAAUUCUUGUGCACUCGGUAAUAAUUGGAAUUUCCUUGGGAGCUUCUGAGAGUCCAAAAACCAUUAAGCCUUUGGUUGCAGCGUUGACUUUUCAUCAAUUCUUUGAAGGAAUGGGUCUUGGUGGUUGCAUUACGCAGGUAAUUAGGAUUUUCUUUUUAUGAUUAAAUUAAGUUUGACCAAUUUGACAGUUUUCCAUUUUUUCUCAUUAAUAUUGUUUUUACUUUGUAAGUUUUAGUUAAAAUGCUUCAUACAUGUACAUGGUGCUAACUAGCCAUAAGAAUUAAUUAUCAAAGCACUUUUUAUUUUGGAAAACUUUUUUUUGGUUAGAAAAAGGAAAAACUUAUUUGAAGUCUUAAAAUUCUCUGUUUUUUUUUUUUUACGCUGUUGACUAUAUGUGUGUACACAUAUGUAAUACUAAAGUCUUUUUGUGACAAUAUCCACCUAUGUACAAUCAAGUGGACAAUCUGGCUCCAAAUUUCAGUAGUAAUUGAUGUUAACAAUUUUGUUUUAACGUGUUCGUUUUUAUAGGCAAAAUUCAAGUCUCGAGGAGUUGCAAUAUUGGCCUUGUUCUUCUCUUUGACGACCCCAGUUGGGAUAGCAAUAGGCAUUGGAAUAUCAAGUGUUUAUGACGAAAAUAGCCCCACCGCUCUUAUUGUUGAAGGAAUAUUCAAUGCAGCAGCAGCCGGAAUCCUAAUAUACAUGUCCUUGGUGGAUCUUCUUGCUGCAGAUUUUAUGAAUCCAAAGAUGCAAACCAAUAAAAGGCUUCAGUUUGGAGCAAAUGUUUCUCUUCUUUUAGGCGCUGGUUGCAUGUCUUUGUUAGCCAAAUGGGCUUAAAAUUCAUUCAGAUUUUGUCUACAAUUUUUCUUCAUCCAAUAGUUUAAUUAAUUUGCGGCAGUUUUUGUACGGACAUUUUUUUUUUUAAAAUUUUACCAUUUAAUUAGUCGCCACAAAAGUUUAUAAUUUUAAAUAAAUUGACUAAUUGCCCCUCUUUUUGACACUUUUUCAUGGAAUGCAAAAGUCCUGUGCCCCGAGUGAGGGGAAAACAAUAAAAAUAAAUAAAAAGACACUCAAGACACAUGAGAUUCUAAUUUGGGCAAAUAUUAUUCCAAUAUGAUAGCCCAAUCGCUUAGCCUCUUUUUGUUUUGGCACCCUACCAACUCUUUUAAAACCCUUUCACUUAUUUGCUCCUUUUUCCGUUUAUUACAAUAAGAACCUUAUUUUAAAAUUUCUUCAUCAAACAUGGAAACCAGUUAUCCAAUCGUCCUCUUCGAACCCCGUAAUCCUAUAUAUAUAUAUAUAUAUAUAUAUAUAUUCUUUCUGAUUCUUCUUAUUCUCUCACUCUUGUUUCCAUUUUUUUUUCGCCUUCUCUCAUCUUUAGAUUCUUUUAAUCUAUUUUCAUUGCUUCCGAAAAUAAAAGAAAUAAAAAAUUUUAAUCAAACGUAUAAAUUAAUGAAAUUGUUAAUUUGUUGUACUGCAAAUACCAAUUAAAACUCGCAAUUCUCACUAACGAAAAUUUACUGGGGCAAUGAAAAUAGAAAAAAAAGUAUUACUUUAAAACUCCAAACAAAAAAUGUAACAAUUUAUUUAAUAUCUAUUUGUUAAGUACCCAUUCUGAUUUUCUAAUAGUGUUUGUAACGAGUCUUUGAGAUAUUAUUAUUAUUUGGAAACUUGAUUCUUUCUCUCUCUUCCCUUCCCCGGGGAAUAGCUAGGGUUUUUAGUCGCUAUUUUGGAAUUCCAAUAAGUUGGGUGAAUUCUCUGAUAACAGAAGAAAAUAUGUAUUAAUCUGGGGGUCACAUGUUUGUCCUUUGAUGUAAUUUUGCUGGAGACUACAAUUGUAAAAUACUCAAAAGGUGUUAUAAGAGUAUAAUGAAAGGAAGCCAUUAGUCCAACUUCUAACGAAAAUUGGAUGUACUAUGUUUGUUUGGUUUAGCCUAAAUGCCUAAUGGGUUUUGUUUAAAAAUAAAUAAAAAAUACUACAACAUUUUUAAGUUAUAUCAUUCAUCCACACUAAAUUUAUAAUUUAUAUUAUUCAUCCACCAAAUCAUUAGCUUCCAUUAGAAAGUAAUGAGGUCAUAAGGGUAAUUUAGAUAUUUAACAUGCUAAAUAAAAAAAAUAGAGAAAUUAACAGUCUGCCUUAAGUUUAAUUACUCAGUUAUAAAAAACAUUACAAAAGUUUAAAUUCGUUUAAUUUUCCACCCUAAAUUUGUAAUUUGUAUCGAUCAUCCACCAAAACAUUAACGGUUGUUUACAAUUAAUGACGUCACAAGGGUGAUUUAGGCAUUUAAUAUACUAAACAUAAAAUUAAAAUAAUAUUUUAAAAUAUAAAAAUAAAAAAUUCAUUUACAUAGCCAAUAUUCCAUUAUAUACACUUAAAACUCUAUUUUUUUUCCUUAAUAGAAAAAAAAAUCUGAUUUGACCUCUCAAUUUGUCUUCACCAAUUUGCAUAAUCAAACUAAAUCCACAAAUUAUCCUAAGUCCUAAUUCAUGAAGACCCAAUCAACCCAUCGUUAAAUUUGAUUUCAUAAUUUUAAAAAGCUAAAUUUUAUUGUAUUAUUAAUAGUGUGAAGUAAAAAUAUCCUUGAAUUCAAGAGUAAAAUGGUUAUUUUAUUUAAAUUCUAUUAAACAUUUGAAAUCAUUAUCUUAGCCUUUUUAUUUAAACUCUCUACUCACACUAAUUAAAGAUCUAAACUACCUAAUGUUUUAUUCAAGAAUGAGGCAACAAAUAAGUAUUAAGAUUUAGUGAGAGUUAAAUUUUUGUUGAGCACUGAAUUAAGAUGAUAAUUAUUUAAAUUUUUAUUUUUUUAUUUAUCUUGUUUAACAAUUAUUGAUUCAAUACUAAGUGAUUGUUUGGUAUGACUUAUUUGAUAACCAUAAGUGCUUAUUUAAUCCUAUAAGCUCUUAUCAUAAUUUUUGUUGUUGUUUGGUUGUUUUACUAAUAGAGAUUUUGAAGCUUAAAUAAGCUAUAUUACCUCCACUAGUAAAAGCUCAAAUUUUGAGCUUUUGGGAGUAGAUGUUAAAUUUUUUUUUUAAAAUGUCAAAAUAUCUAAAAUAUCCUCUAUUUAUUUAACAAUCUUAUUUAUUUUUUUCAUAAUAUAACUUUAAAAAGCUUGCCUAUUAAAGUAAUUUCAUAAAAUUUUAACUAAAACUCUUAUUGACAACCAAACAACUAAAUUGUUUUUUGUAAAAGCGCUAUUUACAAAAGCUCUACUAACAAAAACUCUAUUUAAACAAACUCUGUUUGAAAAGUUGUACCAAACGGAGCCUAAGUAAAAACUCCGCUCAGCAACCCUUAUCCACAACAAACAAUAUCCAUCUUUCAAAUUCCAGUACAAACUCUCACAUAUACUCUCCAUAAAAGAAACAAUUUACUCUCAAAUAUCUUCGUACCAAAAAUCAUAAAACGGCUUCAGGCUGCAAAUUCUUUCCAUGAUCACUUGAUUCAAUUCUCGUGGUCAUCACUAAACUCCGAUGGCUCCGGCUACGAGGAUCACACGUGCAUUCUCCUAUUACUUUGUGAUCCUCGUAUCGGAGCCGUCGGAUUUUUCUUCCGGUCUUCGGAAAACCAUCCCGGUAUUAAGUCCGGAGAAAAAAAAAAGUUUCUUGCCUUUGCCGCCGGAGUUAUAUUAUCAACCGGGUUCAUUAACGUGCUUCCCAACUCCUUUGAUACCUUGACAUCACAGUGCCUCGAUGAAAUCCCGUUCAUCGGAUUGAUUGAUGGUUGUUGCUAUCAGGACUCUGAUGACUUAUGCUUUUGCAACUUCCUAAGCUACUUCUUAUAAUCGUCGUGAUAAAACUGAGAAUCACAAUUGAGCAGAUGAAGAGAAAGUUGAAAGUUGGAAGCAUGCAAACUCAUGGCUCCGUUGAAUGUUCCGGUGAAUCGGAGCUUCUAUGAAGCCAUGUCAUAUCUCUGGUU
rnacentral:lncRNA from 1 species